AGGCAGACCAGGCGCCAGCAGACAAGCACUUCCGCGCCGGAAAUGACGUCACAACCUGCAUGCGGUAAGCGACCUGUGGGAACGCCAUUUUAGUUUGUCGGCUGCCUCUACAUCAUGGCCGGGUACACGGACGAUCAAAUUAGCGACUACCAGGAGGCCUUCUCCCUGUUUGACAACCGAGGCGAUGGCAA
rnacentral:lncRNA from 1 species